rnacentral:ncRNA from 1 species
AACAACAUAAUCGCUCGUAUAAAUUCGGUAAUACGGUCCGAAUGUUUCUACCAGGUUCCCUUUAAAGAAUCGGACUACGAGUCGAAGUA